rnacentral:rRNA from 1 species
AUGAACGCUGGCGGCGUGCCUCAUACAUGCAAGUCGAGCGAACGGACGAGAAGCUUGCUUUUCUGAUGUUAGCGGCGGACGGGUGAGUAACACGUGGAUAACCUACCUAUAAGACUGGGAUAACUUCGGGAAACCGGAGCUAAUACCGGAUAAUAUUUUGAACCGCAUGGUUCAAAAGUGAAAGACGGUCUUGCUGUCACUUAUAGAUGGAUCCGCGCUGCAUUAGCUAGUUGGUAAGGUAACGGCUUACCAAGGCAGCGAUGCAUAGCCGACCUGAGAGGGUGAUCGGCCACACUGGAACUGAGACACGGUCCAGACUCCUACGGGAGGCAGCAGUAGGGAAUCUUCCGCAAUGGGCGAAAGCCUGACGGAGCAACGCCGCGUGAGUGAUGAAGGUCUUCGGAUCGUAAAACUCUGUUAUUAGGGAAGAACAUAUGUGUAAGUAACUGUGCACAUCUUGACGGUACCUAAUCAGAAAGCCACGGCUAACUACGUG